UGAAUCAACAAAACAAAAGAGUCAAGAAAAAAGAUCAACAUAGAACUGGGCUUUGGAUUGAGAACUUCUAUGGACCAUAAUCUCCAACAGAAAUCUGGACAUAAAUAAACGCCUCUUGUCCCAGUAAAUGAUUGAAUAGCACACUCAUACUUGCAACUCGUGAUCUGCGUGACAGCACAAAAGACACAAACAAAUAAAGGCAUUGAGAACAUGAAUCAGGGGCAGGCUACAGCAUAUGACAACUGCAAGCAACCACAAAACCAAAUUCAGGCCAUGUAGGUUGUUCUAACACAAUAUGUUAAUAGCUAGCGAGUGAAAUAUAUAGAUGAAACCGACAUCGAAGGUAAACAGAGCAACCAACUGUUAAUUCGGUUGUUGCACAAAAACAUAAGAAAGUAGUAUCUACACAGAUUGAUUAGAAGCAAAGAGAGGAACUUUAAAUGCAGAUGUAAGAGAAUGAAGCAAAUGCCAUACUUGAAGAUCUUCAUGGAAAGAUAUCGUCCAAUUGGGAACCACACGUGUAGCAUUUAGAAGGCGUCCAUAACUACAUCAUCAUUAAUCUGAAAUGAGAUGACAUGCUUUGUUCAAAACACAUAGCUUAGUAGUAAGUACAACAAAGAGAAAAGCAUAUGUGUAUUUUAGAGCAGGAAGGAAUGUGAGAAGCAUAAGUACUGUUUGCAGAUUUUUAAUCCAAAGCUAGAAAAUAAUCUCAAGAACUAAAUAGAGUUGGUCUGACUUAGUAUCUGGCCAAACAACCGAGGUCUAGGAUCAGAACAUCGGGCUUAUGACAGCGGCAGAAUCCAAGUCAUUCUGAUGGCACACUUAGGCUGAAUCAACGCACGACAACAUGUUAAAAAAUGGCAAAGACUUUUUAUUCCCUGCUAGCAAUUACAUGCUCAUUAGAGCUUUUACAUAUAUCAGCUGAAAAUGGAAGGGUAAUGUAAAAAAGAUGGGACUGAAUCAACGCAGGACAACAUGUAAAAAGCCGGUAAAUCAAAUCACAUAGUACAUUAUCCUUCCACUUUCAGGUUUACAUUACUUAAAAGGUAACCUCGACUUAACAUCUAGAACAUGACUUGUAUGAUUAGUAAAGAUUCUCAUUAGAAAACUCUCAGGUCUCAGAAAGGCAACGUCAACAUAAUAUCAAGAACAUGACUUGUAGGAUUAGUAAGGAGUCACAUUUGAAAUCUCAGCAGACUAAUAGGAUAUUUCUAUUUUUCUCACUAAUAAAAGAAGUUCCUCCAAAUGAAUAAAGCAUACACCAGUGGCAAAUAAUGUAGUAACAGUAUAGUGGCAUUUUAAGACCAAUUGCAAUAAAAGUAGUUUGAUAGCUUAAAUGGUAGAGCCACAAUAAAAUAAACUGAUUUUUAUAAUCAAGUGUAUGAUGAGAGGAAUACAGAAUGGCAUGGAUGGCUUUGGUACCCGGAUGUGGUGCUGCUUAUCCCUUUUGUUGUAGACACUUAAGACAGAAACUAUCUACAGGAGAAUAAAUGGGUAAAGAAAAUAAUUAAAGUGCAAUACCAAAGGGCAUGGACAUUGUUGCAGGUUGUUAAUCGAAAUCUCAAGCACUUAAAUAAGUUGGUGUCUCUUUGAUUUAGCUGUACUUGAAGGAACAGACCUCCCAAGGAGCAAAUUAUCAAAAACCUGCAAGUAAAUACUAUAUUUAUCAGUGACAGCAACUCAUAUUCAGACCUCCUAAAGACGCAACUACAUCCACAUACUUGAUCUGAAACAUUCACAGUUUGUAGUUUCAGUGACAGCAGCUCAUAUGUUCAGUUCACACUUUAGUCAUUCAGCAAAAAAUCAUUCCACUGUCACACACUGACUCUUGUCAUGCAGAUCAUUAUAUGCAAAUGACACAAAGAUGAUCAAAGGCACAACAGAAGCUCAAGCGAUAGCUCAAUUUCUUUAGGCGGCGUUCUACUCUGUCUGUGUUGUGGCUGUUGGUUGGGGGAGCAAGAGAGAAAGAGAGAGGUGAACCUGUACGUGUGGAGAUGGAGCCGAAAUUGGAGGCGCCACAGAUCCGGCCAUCUCCAGGGCAUCCGACACUCCUAGCAACGGCUCCCCGUCGGUGAACGGAGCUGAGAACCGGAGAGGCCACUCUGGGGCCUGGAUGCGUUGGUCGCUAACCAGCAGCGCGAGAGAAGGGUCAUGCUCCUCCUGCCGAGUACACGCGAGCAUGACAGCGACGACACCGAGUCUUCCCGUCGAUGGCGACGCCUCCAGGCGGAGCAGCUGUGUGAAUGGCAGACGACGCUCCUCCGGUGAUGGAGACGCGAUGGAGGAGUGGCGGGGGUCCCUGCCGGUGGGUGGUGGUGGGGCAGGCAGCCAUACCUCUCCAAUGGGGGCGGCAGCGAGACGCUCCUACUGCCGAGCGCCGAAGGGGUGGGGAGGAGGAGGAGACGGUGCAAAGGGUGUGAGGCCGAGGAUGCGGAGCACAGUGAGCGGCGGCGGCGCGGCGGGGAGCGUACGGGCGCUGUUUCAAGGGUUUGAAGAGGGGAUCGAGAGAGAAAGAGAAAAAUGGAACCUGGCG
rnacentral:lncRNA from 1 species